rnacentral:tRNA from 3 species
GCGGGUGUAGCUCAAUGGUAGAGCCCCAGCCUUCCAAGCUGGUCACGCGGGUUCGAUUCCCGUCACCCGCU